UACAGAGGGUGCAAGCGUUGUUCGGAAUUAUUGGGCGUAAAGGGCGCGUAGGCGGUUGGGUAAGUCGGGUGUGAAAACUCAGGGCUCAACUCUGAGACGCCACUCGAUACUGCCCUGACUCGAGUCCGGUAGGGGAGCGUGGAAUUCCCGGUGUAGCGGUGAAAUGCGCAGAUAUCGGGAGGAACACCAGUGGCGAAGGCGGCGCUCUGGGCCGGAACUGACGCUGAGGAGCGAAAGCGUGGGUAGCAAACAGG
rnacentral:rRNA from 1 species